AAUGCGCAAUACACCGAAAUGGUACGUUUUCUGGCGAUGUCUAAUGACAACGUAUCUGCUGCAGGAAGGCGUUUCGAAGAGCAGUUUAAUAUUAGUGUCGUGGCACACAAUGCUUUCUGCAACCCUGCGUUUGAGAGAUUACGGACAAUUUCGGACUCCAACUGUAGAUAGAGAUUUGCGCUAUACAAAAAAUCACGUUGUAUAUUAUAUAAUUAUCAAUACCGGUCCGCGUGUGAGGCGGCACGCUGUAACAGCGGCGGUACGUGAGGCGGGACAGUCUCGGAGCUCUCCGGAAGAUACUCGCGGGACACUCGAGACGCCUCCUCGUACAGCUCUGAACAUGAAACAUUCAAAAUUAUUCGCACUAAACUACAUUCAGAAACAUGAAAAGAUUAUUGUCAUAAUAAUGCACAGCUUUCUUGCGAACGAACAAACUUACGAACUUUAAUAAACCAUAUCCUUUUGUUAGGUAUCUAGCUUAGGAGUUUAAACUCUCUAUCUUGUCGAAGACGGUGUCAUGUAUGUUAAUAGACGGAGGUAACAAACUAUCAACCACUUCAUAAAAAAUCAUCAUUCUUAACAAAGCAUUUUGACAUUCUGGAAAAAGAACUCUUCAGAGAAACAAAAAGGUUCUAACGAACCCAAGUCUUUGUAAUGUUGCACCACGUCUCUCGGCCGGUUGGCUCUUAUCAUGAGGGCUUCGAACUGCGACAGGUCGCCGCGCUCGGCCGCAGCGCGAGCUCCCUCCACCAACACCUCCUCCGUCUAUACAUCAUCAUAUAAAUUGAUAAUUACUACACUACUACUUUAACCAUUAGUAUUGUCAAUGUAAACAGAGAACUAUAAAUUUUUUUUAUAGUCCUAUACUCUCCUAUUGUCAACCAAUUGUCAAAAUCUCAACGUAUAAAAGUUAAAAUCAAUUAUAAUAAAGUAUAUAAACAUUGAAACUAAAAUUAAGUCACUUAUCAUACAAAACGUUUUACCAUAUGAGUGGCAUGCUGUUCGGCCAAGGCCAAAGCUCUAUGGUGAUUCCCUUUAGACAGCCACAUCCGGAUCGCGUCCUCAGCCGCAGAAGCCCUAAGGAAAGCCGCCUCAGCUUCCUCCGGGUUCUCUUCAGCCAGAACUGCCGCUUCAUGCCUUGCUACUUCUCGCUUUGUGAUCCCACCACCCAUCUCACUCAACUCAAUAGCAAUAUCCCAUCUAAAUAAAUAUAUCUAACUGUAAUUGUGACGUAAUAAGUAAGGCCAAUAUGGCUUUGAAAAAUACAAUUUCUCAAUACUUCUAAAUUAAUCUUGUACCCGGAGAUAAUGCCAUUACGUCGUUUAGCAUUGAUAAUUGAUUUCUUAAUUGGAUUAACUUGAAUCUAGGGAUUCCAUAGAAUAGUCAUCAGCGCUCGUCACAAAUUUGUAAUCCGGAGUGAUUAUGGGGUUUCAUAGAAUAGAGGGCCCACCGCGCCCCAAGUGCUGCCAGUCCCCGGGCAACCAGCAGGCGGGCCGCGGCUGCCGCGGACAACGACCCGGCCCACUGAAGAGCCACCUGCUGCUGUACUCCAACCGGAGCGUGAGCCCGAGCCACGCGCUCAGCGUUCUCCCACUGACCACUCGUGUGAUACAUCUGGAUGGCACUUUUCCAGUCACCUGCACAAUAUAUAUGCAUAUAUUAUACUUAGGUCUCAGCGGCCCGAAGGUCCCCCGCGGCGCGGAGGUCACUGGCCGCCUUCUUCCUCGUGGCCUGCAGCAGCGCUGGUCUAUGAGCCGCCACCAACCGCAGCAUUGACUCAUACUGAGAUGCUUCCUAAUAGAUUUUUUACAACGAUUCAACAAAACCGAAUAGCUGCGGUGAGCGCAUCGACCGUGCGACCAGCCUCUAUGAGAUGAGGCACAGCGGCGCCCGCCUGUCGCGAAGAUACAAGCCACGCCCCCCAUUCUCCUUCUAACCUGGUCACUUCACCGGGACAGGCCUGAAGAUUAAAAAAUAAUAUAAUAAAAUUAAAAAAAAAAACAAAACAUUCAAAUAAAGAACACCAACAUCUCUUGCUAGUUGGACCGCUCUUGCGUAGUUGUUGCCUCUAGAAUAGUAAUCCACCGCAGUUCUUAUAUCACCUUUACGCUCGGAUAUUUCACCAGCCAUUUCCCACCAUUCCUCCUGCAACGGAAACAAAUUAUCAACUUAUGUAUGUAAUAAUGCAUGUCUCUUAUUAGUGAAACAAUUUUUUUUUUAUAUUUAUAAAGAAUUCAAGAUCAUUAUGUAUUAGAACAAAUAUAUUUGUGAUAGUUAUAGUAAUAAAAUUGGAUAUCUAUUA